rnacentral:rRNA from 1 species
AUUGAACGCUGGCGGCAUGCCUUACACAUGCAAGUCGAACGGUAACAGGUCUUCGGAUGCUGACGAGUGGCGAACGGGUGAGUAAUACAUCGGAACGUGCCCGAGAGUGGGGGAUAACGAGGCGAAAGCCUUGCUAAUACCGCAUACGAUCUCAGGAUGAAAGCAGGGGACCGCAAGGCCUUGCGCUCACGGAGCGGCCGAUGGCAGAUUAGGUAGUUGAUGGGAUAAAAGCUUACCAAGCCGACGAUCUGUAGCUGGUCUGAGAGGACGACCAGCCACACUGGGACUGAGACGCGGCCCAGACUCCUACGGGAGGCAGCAGUGGGGAAUUUUGGACAAUGGGCGCAAGCCUGAUCCAGCCAUGCCGCGUGCAGGAUGAAGGCCUUCGGGUUGUAAACUGCUUUUGUACGGAACGAAAAGACUCCUUCUAAUAAAGGGGGUCCAUGACGGUACCGUAAGAAUAAGCACCGGCUAACUACGUGCCAGCAGCCGCCGUAACAC